rnacentral:lncRNA from 1 species
AUCUGAAACCAAGUUUAUCAUAUUAUUAAAUUUUUGCUUUAGUUAGAUUAAGAUUGAAAGGCAGUAGUAGUAGUAGUAGUAAGAAAAAGUUACUUGGCAAGACCCUUGAGAGCAACGUUGUCUCUGUCGAAGUAGGCGUACAUUGAAUGGUAAACAUACGACACGUUGUAUUCCACACUGUCCAAAUAUCAACCUCUGUUAAUAUCUAAUCUUGUCGUAACAACAUUUAAACAGGAAAAGAAGAAAGGAUGCUUACUUGAUUUGCUCGUUAAUGGCAGCCUCGCAAGAGUCGGCAUACCUCUGGCGAGCGAGGGAGGCAUUAGAUGUGAUUGGAAUGGCCAGAUCGGCUUUCUUCACCUCCUCGAACGGCUGGAACACCACUCCUGUCAUCGGCAUAUUGUUUGUGUCUACCGUUGAGGACGCAAC